rnacentral:rRNA from 1 species
AGGCGCUUGCUUUGUGCGUGACGAGUGGCGGACGGGUGAGUAAUGUCUGGGAAACUGCCCGAUGGAGGGGGAUAACUACUGGAAACGGUAGCUAAUACCGCAUAACGUCGCAAGACCAAAGAGGGGGACCUUCGGGCCUCUUGCCAUCGGAUGUGCCCAGAUGGGAUUAGCUAGUAGGUGGGGUAACGGCUCACCUAGGCGACGAUCCCUAGCUGGUCUGAGAGGAUGACCAGCCACACUGGAACUGAGACACGGUCCAGACUCCUACGGGAGGCAGCAGUGGGGAAUAUUGCACAAUGGGCGCAAGCCUGAUGCAGCCAUGCCGCGUGUAUGAAGAAGGCCUUCGGGUUGUAAAGUACUUUCAGCGAGGAGGAAGGCGUUGUGGUUAAUAACCGCAACGAUUGACGUUACUCGCAGAAGAAGCACCGGCUAACUCCGGGCCAGCAGGCGCGGUAAUACGGAGGGGUGCAAGCGUUAAUCGGAAUUACUGGGCGUAAAGCGCACGCAGGCGGUCUGUCAAGUCGGAUGUGAAAUCCCCGGGCUCAACCUGGGAACUGCAUCCGAAACUGGCAGGCUAGAGUCUUGUAGAGGGGGGUAGAAUUCCAGGUGUAGCGGUGAAAUGCGUAGAGAUCUGGAGGAAUACCGGUGGCGAAGGCGGCCCCCUGGACAAAGACUGACGCUCAGGUGCGAAAGCGUGGGGAGCAAACAGGAUUAGAUACCCUGG